rnacentral:rRNA from 1 species
AAUGAACGCUGGCGGCACGCUUUACACAUGCAAGUCGAACGAGAUCUUCGGAUCUAGUGGCAGACGGGUGCGUAACGCGUGGGAACCUGCCCUUUAGUAAGGAAUAACUUUAGGAAACUGAAGCUAAUACCUUAUAAUCCCUUCGGGGGAAAGCUUUAUGCGCUAAUGGAUGGGCCCGCGUUAGAUUAGCUUGUUGGUGAGGUAAAGGCUCACCAAGGCUACGAUCUAUAGCUGGUCUGAGAGGAUGAUCAGCCACACUGGGACUGAGACACGGCCCAGACUCCUACGGGAGGCAGCGGUGGGGAAUAUUGGACAAUGGGGGCAACCCUGAUCCAGCGAUGCCGCGUGAGUGAUGAAGGCCCUAGGGUUGUAAAACUCUUUCGCCAGGGAAGAUAAUGACGGUACCUGGUAAAGAAGAUCCGGCUAACUCCGUGCCAGCAGCCGCGGUAAUACGGAGGGAUCUAGCGUUAUUCGGAAUAACUGGGCGUAAAGCGAGCGUAGGCGGAUUUGUAAGUUGGAGGUGAAAUCCCAGGGCUUAACCCUGGAACUGCCUUCAAAACUACAUUUCUUGAGUUUGGUAGAGGAGAGUGGAAUUCCUAGUGUAGAGGUGAAAUUCGUAGAUAUUAGGAGGAACACCAGUGGCGAAGGCGACUCUCUGGGCCAAUACUGACGCUGAGGUUCGAAAGCGUGGGUAGCGAACAGGAUUAGAUACCCUGGUAGUCCACGCAGUAAACGAUGAGUGCUAGAUGUUGGGAACAUUAGUUUUCAGCAUCGCAGCUAACGCGUUAAGCACUCCGCCUGGGAAGUACGGCCGCAAGGCUA